CCCUUAGAUGUUCUGGGCUGCACACGUGCUACACUGGCAGGUUCAGCGAGCUUCAUGCCCUGAUCUGAAAGGAAUGGGAAAUCUUUUCAAAACCUGCCGUGCUUGGGAUAGAUGUUUGCAAUUAUUCAUCUUCAACGAGGAUUGCCUUGUAAGCGCACGUCAUCAGCGUGCGUUGAAUACGACCCUGUAUUCUGUACACACCGCCCGUCGCUCCUACCGAUUGAAGUUUUCGGUGAGUUGACAGGAGGAUUUUUUUGAAACUGGUUCGCCAGUGGAUUUUAGAUCCAAAUGCCAACGAAUCGAUGGCUUUAGAGGAAGGAGAAGUCGUAACA
rnacentral:rRNA from 1 species